AUUGAACGCUGGCGGCAGGCCUAACACAUGCAAGUCGAACGGUAACAGGAAGCAGCUUGCUGCUUUGCUGACGAGUGGCGGACGGGUGAGUAAUGUCUGGGAAACUGCCUGAUGGAGGGGGAUAACUACUGGAAACGGUAGCUAAUACCGCAUAACGUCGCAAGACCAAAGAGGGGGACCUUAGGGCCUCUUUCCAUCGGAUGUGCCCAGAUGGGAUUAGCUAGUAGGUGGGGUAACGGCUCACCUAGGCGACGAUCCCUAGCUGGUCUGAGAGGAUGACCAGCCACACUGGAACUGAGACACGGUCCAGACUCCUACGGGAGGCAGCAGUGGGGAAUAUUGCACAAAGGGCGCAAGCCUGAUGCAGCCAUGCCGCGUGUAUGAAGAAGGCCUUCGGGUUGUAAAGUACUUUCAGCGGGGAGGAAGGGAGUAAAGUUAAUACCUUUGCUCAUUGACGUUACCCGCAGAAGAAGCACCGGCUAACUCCGUG
rnacentral:rRNA from 1 species